rnacentral:rRNA from 1 species
GAUGAACGCUGGCGGCGUGCCUAAUACAUGCAAGUCGAGCGAACAGACGAGGAGCUUGCUCCUCUGACGUUAGCGGCGGACGGGUGAGUAACACGUGGAUAACCUACCUAUAAGACUGGGAUAACUUCGGGAAACCGGAGCUAAUACCGGAUAAUAUAUUGAACCGCAUGGUUCAAUAGUGAAAGACGGUUUUGCUGUCACUUAUAGAUGGAUCCGCGCCGCAUUAGCUAGUUGGUAAGGUAACGGCUUACCAAGGCAACGAUGCGUAGCCGACCUGAGAGGGUGAUCGGCCACACUGGAACUGAGACACGGUCCAGACGCCUACGGGAGGCAGCAGUAGGGAAUCUUCCGCAAUGGGCGAAAGCGUGACGGAGCAACGCCGCGUGAGUGAUGAAGGUCUUCGGAUCGUAAAACUCUGUUAUUAGGGAAGAACAAAUGUGUAAGUAACUAUGCACGUCUUGACGGUACCUAAUCAGAAAGCCACGGCUAACUACGUG